GAUGAUAUCGUGGAGUCCAUCUCAAUCAGCUGUUGUUUGCAAGGCACGUUUUACUGAAAAAGACUACGUGCAGGAAACUAUUCAUGGGCGCAAACCCACCAUACAGAGACUUAAGUCUACUGCAAUUCCCAGCCUAUUUUCCUGGACCAAGCAAGAGACUGAAUCGUCCGCAAAAAGAAAAAUCAGGGCAGUUUCCUGUGAAAACAAAAGAACUAAACUUGAUGAAUAUUGUAGUAGAAAUCUAGAGGAAAGUUUUGAUUGUAAAGUUGGUUUUCCUGAAGAAGUCAUUCAUACUGCAGAAAGGAUAUAUGACUGCCACCACCAACUGCCGAGCUAAUGUUGAGCUUCACAGAUGGAAUUACGCAAACACCAUCAAUGCCUAUGUUUUCAGCAGAGAAUUUUGAAAUGAAGACACGUGACACAGCCAUGCAUUUUUAUACCGGUUUAGAGUUGUAUACUAAAUUUUUAUUUGUUUUGACCACACUUGGUCCAGCAGCACAUUGUUUGAGAUACAUAUAUUUUCAAAUUGAUAGGGUGUCAGUUGAAAAUCAGUUUUUUUAUGACUUUGAUGAAAUUGAGGCAUCAUACAACCAACUUUGAACUGUCUAGAUUCUAGAUUGAAUCUAGUGUUAAGAAUAUUGUGUAUACAUGGAUUGUUUUUAUGUCUAAACAGUGGUGUGAAACUAACACUUGGCCAUCUAGUGGUUUAGUCAGGUAUUUUUCACCAUCCAACUUCAAAUUAAAGUUUCCUACGACUUGGAUUAUUAUUGACAGCACAGAAUAUCCCGUGAUAAAACCUAAAGCUCCUAGAGCUCAGGCAACCUUUUCAUCAAAUAAAAACAGAAACACUGAAAAUUCCUGAAUGUUCGACACCUGGUGGUUUAGUCAACUAUGUCUCUAUGUCACAUAGAGCGAAUUAUUGGACUUGGCAAAACAUACAAAAUUCUAAUAAAUCCUAUGAAUGGAACUGAAACAAAACUUUCAUCUGAAAUAACAUUUAGUUGUUUUAUGUUGUGUAAUUUUAGAACUUGUAUUGUGCCAAAGGAUGCAUAAAUAAAAGUGACGCAAUGAA